rnacentral:tRNA from 1 species
GGCUCCAUAGCUAAGUCGGUAGAGCAGAGGACUGAAAAUCCAUGUGUCGCUGGUUCAAUUCCCGCUGGAGCCACCA